AACGCGAAGAACCUUACCAGGGCUUGACAUUGAGUGAAAGAUCUAGAGAUAGAUCCCUCCCUUCGGGGACACGAAAACAGGUGGUGCAUGGUUGUCGUCAGCUCGUGUCGUGAGAUGUUGGGUUAAGUCCCGCAACGAGCGCAACCCCUAUCAUUUGUUGCCAGCACGUCAAGGUGGGAACUCAAAUGAGACUGCCGCGGACAACGCGGAGGAAGGCGGGGAUGACGUCAAGUCAUCAUGCCCCUUAUGUCCUGGGCUACACGCGUACUACAAUGGGAUGGACAGAGAGCAGCGAACCCGCGAGGGCAAGCGAACCCCAUAAACCAUCUCCCAGUUCGGAUUGCAGGCUGCAACCCGCCUGCAUGAAGUCGGAAUCGCUAGUAAUCGCUGGUCAGCAUACAGCGGUGAAUACGUUCCCGGGUCUUGUACACACCG
rnacentral:rRNA from 1 species